rnacentral:rRNA from 1 species
UACGUAGGGGGCAAGCGUUGUCCGGAAUCAUUGGGCGUAAAGAGCGUGUAGGCGGCCCGAUAAGUCCGCCGUGAAAGUCCAGGGCUCAACCCUCGGAUGCCGGUGGAUACUGUCGGGCUUGAGUACGGAAGAGGCGAGUGGAAUUCCUGGUGUAGCGGUGAAAUGCGCAGAUAUCAGGAGGAACACCAAUUGCGAAGGCAGCUCGCUGGGACGUUACUGACGCUGAGACGCGAAAGCGUGGGGAGCAAACAGG